rnacentral:rRNA from 1 species
UACGGGGGGUGCAAGCGUUAAUCGGAAUGACUGGGCGUAAAGGGUGCGUAGGCGGUUUUUUAAGUUAUCUGUGAAAUUCCUGGGCUUAACCUGGGGUGGUCAGAUGAGACUGGGAGACUUGAGUAUGGGAGAGGGCAGUGGAAUUUCCGGUGUAGCGGUGAAAUGCGUAGAGAUCGGAAGGAACACCAGUGGCGAAGGCGGCUGUCUGGCCUAAUACUGACGCUGAGGCGCGAAAGCGUGGGGAGCAAACAGG